GACGAACGCUGGCGGCGUGCUUAACACAUGCAAGUCGAACGGAAAGGCCCUGCUUGCAGGGUACUCGAGUGGCGAACGGGUGAGUAACACGUGGGUGAUCUGCCCUGCACUUCGGGAUAAGCCUGGGAAACUGGGUCUAAUACCGGAUAGGAGCCAUUUUUAGUGUGAUGGUUGGAAAGUUUUUUCGGUGUAGGAUGAGCUCGCGGCCUAUCAGCUUGUUGGUGGGGUAAUGGCCUACCAAGGCGGCGACGGGUAGCCGGCCUGAGAGGGUGGACGGCCACAGUGGGACUGAGAGACGGCCCAGACUCCUACGGGAGGCAGCAGUGGGGAAUAUUGCACAAUGGGCGCAAGCCUGAUGCAGCGACGCCGCGUGGGGGAUGACGGCCUUAGGGUUGUAAACUCCUUUCGCUAGGGACGAAGCUUUUUGUGACGGUACCUAGAUAAGAAGCACCGGCUAACUACGUG
rnacentral:rRNA from 1 species